rnacentral:rRNA from 1 species
GAUGAACGCUAGCGGCAGGCUUAAUACAUGCAAGUCGAGGGGCAGCACAGAUAGCAAUAUUGGGUGGCGACCGGCAAACGGGUGCGGAACACGUACACAACCUUCCUUUUAGUGUGGGAUAGCCCAGAGAAAUUUGGAUUAAUACCACAUAGUAUAUUGGAGUGGCAUCACUUUGAUAUUAAAGAUUUAUCGCUAAAAGAUGGGUGUGCGUAUGAUUAGGUAGUUGGUAGAGGUAACGGCUCACCAAGCCUUCGAUCAUUAACUGGUGUGAGAGCACGACCAGUCACACGGGCACUGGGACACGGGCCCGACUCCUACGGGAGGCAGCAGUAAGGAAUAUUGGUCAAUGGACGGAAGUCUGAACCAGCCAUGCCGCGUGAAGGAUGACGGCCCUCUGGGUUGUAAACUUCUUUUAUGUGGGACGAAAAAGGGCCAUUCUUGGUCAACUGACGGUACCAUAGGAAUAAGCACCGGCUAACUCCGUGCCAGCCGCCGCCGUAA